rnacentral:rRNA from 1 species
UACGGAGGGUGCAAGCGUUGUCCGGAUUUAUUGGGUUUAAAGGGUGCGUAGGCGGCGUGGUAAGUCAAUUGUGAAAUCUCCGAGCUUAACUCGGAACGGUCAAUUGAUACUGCUGUGCUAGAGUGCAGAAAGGGCAAUCGGAAUUCUUGGUGUAGCGGUGAAAUGCGUAGAUAUCAAGAGGAACACCUGAGGCGAAGGCGGGUUGCUAGGCUGACACUGACGCUGAGGCGCGAAAGCUAGGGUAGCAAACGGG